UUCAUCUAUAAAAGGAGCUAUUCCAUACACCUUAAAACUCAAAAGUGGUACCUUCAUCAUUCACAUAUGCCCAUUCCUGACACAUCUUUUAGAUGAUUCUUUGAUUUGGAUGUUCUAAGAAGAUGCACGAAACGUAUCAAGCGUGAGGGGUUUCUGUGCGAUUCUUGUCAAGUGAGCAGUCUUUGCGGUUCAUCUCUUUUUCGUUGUCUGUUCGACCUUGAUUAUCUUAUAUACAUAUCUGCACCCCUAGUUUUACAGAUUAUUUUCUUGCUCUAACACAAUUUUUUGGUCCCUUUCAAUCAUAUAUCCUGAUAUUCAAUUCGAUCUAUAUUUUCAUAGAAGUACCGAUUAACCAACCUCUAGCUCCCCCGUUUUUUAUAACCUAGCUUUGAUCUCGUUAGGCAUAGUUAUAAACUACCAAUCUAGUUAUAUACAAACAAAAAAACGACGAACCAAAUAAACAAACGCACCUUAUAAGAUCCCACUUAUAGCAUGGUCCGGGAAAAGGUGAGAUAAGGACAAACUUUUUCUCUAUCACAUGACUAGGGUGUAAAUGAGUCGAGCCCGAGUUCGAGCUCAUUCAACAUGCGAGAGCUUAAGUUCAAGCCCGGCUCAAUUCGAACUCAUUUCUAAAAUUCGAGCUCAGCUCGUGACAAGUUUUUCAUACUCGAACCCGAUCAUUUAUUUAGUUAAUUUAUACACAUUUAUAAUUAACAUUUUUUAUAUUUAAUCAUUGCAAAUUUAUAUAUAGUAAUAACUAUUAUAUAAAUAUGUUGUAUAUAAAUAAAUUUAUGUUAACAAGAUAGAUAAGUGAAGUUGUGGCUUGGAAUCGUAUUAAACAAGCUUAUUUUUAGAGUCGGGCUUAGGCCUUAGCUCCAAUAAACUUGGCUCUGAUCGACCUUUUAGCGGGCCCAACUCAAGUAGCUCACGAGCGGUUUAGCUCGUUUAAACCCCUACGCAUGACUAACCAACUAAUUACAAACAAUGACCAUUUUUGCAAAUCUAGCAUAUAAGUGUAUUAUUAGAAUAAACUAGCUAUAGGUAGCGUUCAUUUCACGAAAUAAAAUGGAAUCUUAAUUGAAUUGGAAUGCUGAUUUUGUUUCUUAUUUUGUUGGUUUCAAUAAAAAAUUUAAUUGGAAUUUAUCAACAUAAAAAAGGAAAUCGAGAGUCUAAUUUCAUCCGGAUUACAAUUUAUUCUGUGAAACAAACACAUAUAAAUUCAAAUGAAAUUUCAAUUUCGACACGAAUUCCAAUUCUAGUUUUAUUAAAUUCAUGAAACAAACUACCUAAGGUUCGCUACCGAGUUGAGACUUCCAUGUGUAUAAGACCACCCGUAGUGGGGCGUUUUUUAUAAAAAAAAAAUCAAAGAAAACGCCUAAUCACGCCCAUAGCCCAUUACGGGGUGGCGUUUUGUGGCGUGUUCCGAGCCAAAAAUUGUUUUGGCGUUUUUGUAAUCACGCCUUAGCCUGCAUUCUCAUUUCCAUUUUAGCCAAUAAGAAUAUUCCACCUAAUUUUUAGUUUAGUUUACUUUUAUUUUUUUAAAUAAUUGGGUAAUCAUUGAUGGGGCAUUAUUGGGCAUUAUUCCACUACGCCUAUUUGUGAAAAACGCCCGUAAUGCCCAUUUACUGACUGGGAUGACACGUGUCGCACAACGCCCAUGAAUGGGGGCAUUAUUCAUGUGUACCACUACCCAUUACAUGUUCUAAUAAAGUUACCACUUAUGCAUGAGAUUCCUCAUAAUUAAAGGUGAUCGAUACUUCCAAGUAUCGAAUGAUUUAUUAGUUACGUCAUGAGUGAAUGCCAAUAAAGUUACCACUUAUGCAUGAUUCCUCAUAAUUUGUUUAGAAGAAAUAAUAAUGUUGCUAAUUUUGUUUGGUAAUUUAUAGGAAAUAUCUGUACGGGCUAAUAUUUUAUUAGGCACUUUUUAUAUACAAAUUUUAAACGGUUAUAAUAGAAGGGAUUCCACUAUUUCCUCACCUACUGUAUCCUCACCUACCCACGUACACCAACAAAGAAAAAUAAGCUUUCUUGAAUUUUGAUAAUGACCACUCAAUAUUUCUAUAAUAUUCACCCUUUCCAUUUUCUCUGCACAUAUUUUAAUACGUGUAUUAAUUUACCAUCAACAAAUAUCCAACAUAUUAUA
rnacentral:lncRNA from 1 species